rnacentral:rRNA from 1 species
CUCGUAGGCGGUUUGUCGCGUCUGCUGUGAAAACCCGAGGCUCAACCUCGGGCCUGCAGUGGGUACGGGCAGACUAGAGUGCGGUAGGGGAGAAUGGAAUUCCUGGUGUAGCGGUGGAAUGCGCAGAUAUCAGGAGGAACACCGAUGGCGAAGGCAGUUCUCUGGGCCGUUACUGACGCUGAGGAGCGAAAGCGUGGGGAGCGAACA